rnacentral:tRNA from 13 species
GGGUUCGGCCGGGAUUUGAACCGGGACCUCUCGCACUAAGCGAGAAUCAUACCCCUAGACCACCGAACC